rnacentral:rRNA from 1 species
AUGCAUAUAGAUGAGAGGUUUAAUGGUAAAAAAUAUAGUCAAUCUUUCCAUUAUGCUAAGCUUGUUGAGACAAACAAGAGUGUCGCUUAUAAGCUUGUUUACAAGCUUCUCAAAUUGGUUCUAACACUACCAGUAGCAACAACUAGUGUUGAUAGAGUAUUCCCUUCAAUGAUUUAUGGGAAAAACAAGCUACAAAAAAAAAGGAGAUCAACUCUUAAUGAUUGCCUGGUUACAUUUAUUGAGAAGGAAUUCUUUUUCAAGUGA